CCUGGCGGCGAUAGCGCGGUGGUCCCACCUGACCCCAUGCCGAACUCAGAAGUGAAACGCCGUAGCGCCGAUGGUAGUG
rnacentral:rRNA from 2 species